GCAGGUAUCGUAUAGUGGUUAUUACAUCAGCCUUAGGUUGGUAAUGCCGGUUCGAUUCCUGUUCUCCGCA
rnacentral:tRNA from 1 species